rnacentral:rRNA from 1 species
AAAGCUCAAAUUUAAAAUCUGGCGGUCCCUGUGGCCGUCCGAGUUGUAAUUUAGAGAAGCGUUAUCCGCGCUGGACCGUGUACAAGUCUCCUGGAAUGGAGCGUCAUAGAGGGUGAGAAUCCCGUCCUUGACAUGGACUCCCAGUGUUCUGUGUUGUGCUCUCAACGAGUCGAGUUGUUUGGGAAUGCAGCUCAAAAUGGGUGGUAAAUUCCAUCUAAAGCUAAAUAUUGGCGAGAGACCGAUAGCGAA